GAUGAACGCUAGCUACAGGCUUAACACAUGCAAGUCGAGGGGUAGCAGGGUAGCAAUACCGCUGACGACCGGCGCACGGGUGAGUAACACGUAUCCAACCUUCCCAUAACUCGGGGAUAGCCUUUCGAAAGAAAGAUUAAUACCCGAUAGUACUUUAUUAAGGCAUCUUAAGAAAGUUAAAGACUUAUUGGUUAUGGAUGGGGAUGCGUUCCAUUAGAUAGUUGGUGAGGUAACGGCUCACCAAGUCUUCGAUGGAUAGGGGUUCUGAGAGGAAGGUCCCCCACAUUGGUACUGAGACACGGACCAAACUCCUACGGGAGGCAGCAGUGAGGAAUAUUGGUCAAUGGGCGAGAGCCUGAACCAGCCAAGUAGCGUGAAGGAUGAAGGUCCUAUGGAUUGUAAACUUCUUUUAUAGUAGAAUAAAGUGAACCACGUGUGGUUUUUUGUAUGUAUACUAUGAAUAAGGAUCGGCUAACUCCGUGCCAGCCGCCGCGGUAAGAC
rnacentral:rRNA from 1 species